rnacentral:lncRNA from 1 species
UCGCCCGGUGUGGAUAUGCACUCAGAGUAACAUCGCAAACAUAAUAUAAGAAUUAUUCAGGAAAAUCUUAAGUCGCGGUACCUUUACGCUUUUGAGUUAUGUUCCUGCUGGUUUUAAGAUAUAUUUAUGAAAAUAUCAUUUUUAUAUAGUAAAAUAGUUGUUCUAAAAAAUUGUGUUCGGAAAUUUUUGUUUAUUUCGUCAUUCCGCUGAUAUGGCGAUUUCUUUGACGAUUGCAAUAUAUUUCUGAAUCGUUUGUGUGAAUUGCUCCUUAUUAUUAAAAUAUCCAAAAUUAGAACAAAGCCGAACACAAUUUUGAAACUGACGUCUUUAGCUGUGUCCUGUGAAAAUUUGAGAAAAAUGCGUUAAAAUCCGCAGGAGAACAACUCGUUUAGAAAUCAGUAAUUGCCGUAAAAUUCUUCGGGAAAAAAUUGAAUUUGAAUAUUACAUUUUCAAUGUAAGUUUUCUU